rnacentral:rRNA from 1 species
GACGAACGCUGGCGGCGUGCUUAACACAUGCAAGUCGAACGGUGAAGCGCCUUCCUUUUUGGUGGGUGUGGAUGAGUGGCGAACGGGUGAGUAACACGUGAGUAACCUGCCCCCUUCUUCUGGAUAACCGCAUGAAAGUGUUGCUAAUACGGGAUAUUCUGGGUCUGUCGCAUGAUGGGUCUGGGAAAGAUAUUGUUUCGGUGGGGGAUGGGCUCGCGGCCUAUCAGCUUGUUGGUGGGGUGAUGGCCUACCAAGGCGGUGACGGGUAGCCGGCCUGAGAGGGUGGACGGCACUGCAGGGGAGGCGCGACGGAGAAGCCUACGAGGGGCAGCAGCAGGGGGGAAUCUGGCACGGUCGGCGGCAGGACGGAGCAGCGACGCGGCGGGAGUGAUGGUCGUCUGCUGGUUGUGAACUUCUUUUGGGAGUGAAGCAGGCUUGCAUCGUCUGUGCGUGGGUUGACAGUAGCUGGAUAGGAAGCGCCGGCUAACUACGUG